AGAGUUUGAUCCUGGCUCAGGACGAACGCUGGCGGCGUGCUUAACACAUGCAAGUCGAACGGAUUUAAUAUUGAAGCUUGCUUCAAUAUUAAGUUAGUGGCGGACGGGUGAGUAACGCGUGGGUAACCUGCCCUUUAGAGGGGGAUAACACCGCGAAAGUGGUGCUAAUACCGCAUGAAGCUAUUGAAUCGCAUGGUUUGAUAGCCAAAGGAGUAAUCCGCUAAAGGAUGGACCCGCGUCUGAUUAGCUAGUUGGCGAGGUAACGGCUCACCAAGGCGACGAUCAGUAGCCGGCCUGAGAGGGUGAACGGCCACACUGGGACUGAGACACGGCCCAGACUCCUACGGGAGGCAGCAGUGGGGAAUCUUCCGCAAUGGACGAAAGUCUGACGGAGCAACGCCGCGUGAAUGAUGAAGGCCUUCGGGUUGUAAAGUUCUGUCUUCAGGGAAGAAAAAAAUGACGGUACCUGAGGAGGAAGCCCCGGCUAACUACGUGCCAGCAGCCGCGGUAAUACGUAGGGGUGNCNAAGUCGUUNGUCNGGGAAAUUAUUNGGGCGUUAAAGAUGCGUGUAGGCGGAUUUNUUAAGUCAGAUGUGAAAACUCCGAGCUCAACUUGGAGCCUGGCAUCUGAUACUGGAAGUCUUGAGGGUAUGAGAGGAAAAACGGUAUUCCUAGUGUAGCGGGUGAAAUGCGUAGAUAUUAGGAGGAACACCCAGUGGCGAAGGCGGUUUUCUGGCAUACAACUGACGCUGAGACGCGAAAAGCGUGGGGGAGCAAACAGGAUUAGAUACCCUGGUAGUCCACGCCGUAAACGAUGGGUACUAGGUGUAGGAGGUAUCGACCCCCUUCUAUGCCGCAGUUAACACAUUAAGUACCCCCGCCUGGGGAGUACGGCCGCAAGGUUUGAAACUCAAAAGGGAAUUGACGGGGGCCCGCACAAGCGGUGGAGCAUGUUGUUUAAUUCGACGCAACACGAAGAACCUUACCAGGGCUUGACAUCCUUCGAAUACCCAGAGAUGGGAUAGUGCCUUCGGGGAGCGAAGAGACAGGUGGUGCAUGGUUGUCGUCAGCUCGUGUCGUGAGAUGUUGGGUUAAGUCCCGCAACGAGCGCAACCCCUAUCUUUAGUUGCCAGCGAGUAAUGUUGGGCACUCUAGAGAGACUGCCGGUGACAAACCGGAGGAAGGUGGGGAUGACGUCAAAUCAUCAUGCCCCUUAUGUCCUGGGCUACACACGUGCUACAAUGGCCGGUACAGAGGGAAGCGAAGCCGCGAGGUGAAGCAAAUCCCAAAAAGCCGGUCUCAGUUCGGAUUGUAGGCUGCAACUCGCCUACAUGAAGUCGGAAUCGCUAGUAAUCGCAGGUCAGCAAACUGCGGUGAAUACGUUCCCGGGCCUUGUACACACCGCCCGUCACACCACGAAAGUCUGCAACACCCGAAGCCGGUGGUCUAACUCGUAAGAGAGGAAGCCGUCGAAGGUGGGGCCGAUGAUUGGGGUGAAGUCGUAACAAGGUAGCCGUA
rnacentral:rRNA from 1 species